rnacentral:rRNA from 1 species
CUGGCUCAGAACGAACGCUGGCGGCAGGCCUAACACAUGCAAGUCGAGCGAGACCUUCGGGUCUAGCGGCGGACGGGUUAGUAACGCGUGGGAACGUACCCUUCUCUAAGGAAUAGCCACUGGAAACGGUGAGUAAUACCUUAUACGCCCUUCGGGGGAAAGAUUUAUCGGAGAAGGAUCGGCCCGCGUAAGAUUAGAUAGUUGGUGGGGUAAUGGCCUACCAAGUCUACGAUCUUUAGCUGGUUUUANAGGAUGAUCAGCAACACUGGGACUGAGACACGGCCCAGACUCCUACGGGAGGCAGCAGUGGGGAAUCUUAGACAAUGGGCGCAAGCCUGAUCUAGCCAUGCCGCGUGUGUGACGAAGGCCUUAGGGUCGUAAAGCACUUUCGCCUGUGAUGAUAAUGACAGUAGCAGGUAAAGAAACCCCGGCUAACUCCGUGCCAGCAGCCGCGGUAAUACGGAGGGGGUUAGCGUUGUUCGGAAUUACUGGGCGUAAAGCGCACGUAGGCGGAUUGGAAAGUAUGGGGUGAAAUCCCAGGGCUCAACCCUGGAACUGCCUCAUAAACUUCCAGUCUAGAGUUCGAGAGAGGUGAGUGGAAUUCCGAGUGUAGAGGUGAAAUCCGUAGAUAUUCGGGGGAACACCAGUGGCGAAGGCGGCUCACUGGCUCGAUACUGACGCUGAGGUGCGAAAGUGUGGGGAGCAAACAGGAUUAGAUACCCUGGUAGUCCACACCGUAAACGAUGAAUGCC